GAGUUUGAUCCUGGCUCAGGAUGAACGCUGGCGGCGUGCUUAACACAUGCAAGUCGAGCGAAGCAUUAAAACAGAUUUCUUCGGAUUGAAGUUCUAAUGACUGAGCGGCGGACGGGUGAGUAACGCGUGGGUGACCUGCCUCAUACAGGGGGAUAACAGACAGAAAUGUCUGCUAAUACCGCAUAAGCGCACAGUGCUGCAUGGCACCGUGUGAAAAACUCCGGUGGUAUGAGAUGGACCCGCGUCUGAUUAGCUAGUUGGUAAGGUAACGGCUUACCAAGGCGACGAUCAGUAGCCGGCCUGAGAGGGUGAACGGCCACAUUGGGACUGAGACACGGCCCAAACUCCUACGGGAGGCAGCAGUGGGGAAUAUUGCACAAUGGGGGAAACCCUGAUGCAGCGACGCCGCGUGAAGGAAGAAGUAUUUCGGUAUGUAAACUUCUAUCAGCAGGGAAGAAAAUGACGGUACCUGACUAAGAAGCCCCGGCUAACUACGUGCCGGCAG
rnacentral:rRNA from 1 species